rnacentral:rRNA from 1 species
GACGAACGCUGGCGGCGUGCUUAACACAUGCAAGUCGAACGGAAAGGCCCUGCUUUUGUGGGGUGCUCGAGUGGCGAACGGGUGAGUAACACGUGAGUAACCUGCCCUUGACUUUGGGAUAACUUCAGGAAACUGGGGCUAAUACCGGAUAGGAGCUCCUGCUGCAUGGUGGGGGUUGGAAAGUUUCGGCGGUUGGGGAUGGACUCGCGGCUUAUCAGCUUGUUGGUGGGGGAGUGGCUGACCAAGGCUUUGACGGGUAGCCGGCCUGAGAGGGUGACCGGCCACAUUGGGACUGAGAUACGGCCCAGACUCCUACGGUAGGCAGCAGUGGGGAAUAUUGCACAAUGGGCGGAAGCCUGAUGCAGCAACGCCGCGUGCGUGAUGACGGCCUUCGGGUUGUAAACCGCUUUCGCCUGUGACGAAGCGUGAGUGACGGUAAUGGGUAAAGAAGCACCGGCUAACUACGUG